AAUUAAGGUCUUGGCAGCUAUGGGUUUUUGUCCACCAAAGCUCCUUCGGUUGAGGUGUCUAGCAUUUGGCGUUCAAUUGGUAGAAGCCCUUUGUAGAAAUAUUGAAGAAGAAGCUCUUUCUUCAUCUGGUGUUGUGGACAUGAAGCAACAAGGGUUUUAAAACGCUCAUAGUAAGUGGGAAAGGAUUCACCUUGGUUUUGCUGAAUGCCACUAAUCCUUUUUCGUAGUAGAAUGACUCGAGAAGUUUGGAAAAACUUCUCCAAAAAUGCCCAUUUCAUACUCUCCAUGAUGUGACAAUUUCGGGGGCUAGCUCAUACAACCAAUCUUUAGCCU
rnacentral:lncRNA from 1 species